ACCCUCAUUCCUGCUCGACAAGACUCUUGACUGAACAAGAAUUUCACAUCAACAAUGRACCUGACUUUUUUUUUUGCUUCGUCAACUGGCUGUCUUGGUAGACAUUGCUAAGACAUAUCAAUAGUUUGUUUUUACUUCGACUCCCAUGUACAAAGCUGUCAAAGAAAGAGCACGUCGUUUCUUCAGCGAACACAGAUUGGUGGCAUUAAUUCCCAAAUGAUAUCCUAAAAAUAACAAUCUCAAACAAAAUUAAGAUCACACUCGACUGCCUUGUCAUUUUUGAUGUUACCUAUACCUUGACAUGCAAUCGUAUUUUUUUUCUAUUGGUAUCGCAGGCGGUGUAGUGGCUAUGAUAAUCAUAAUUUACAUGGC